rnacentral:tRNA from 1 species
GGAAAAGUAUCCAUAGGUAAGGUAAGAUAUUUGCUAAAUAUUGUGUUUUGUUACAUCUGUGGGUUCGAAUCCCUCCUUUUCCG